AUGAGUCAAUUUUUAGGUUUGCUAAUGAAUCUUGUAAACUGAAUUCGGUGUUGAUCCAAUUUGAUUGUCAUUAAAUUAUCCCUGGUUGCGAAAACUUUCUAUCCUCCAAUCUUUCCUUCUCUGAUAUUCUUUUAUGCCAAUCGUAAACACCUGAAGAGAAACAACAAAAGACCAAAAAAUGUAUAAAUACCAUUUCCAUGAUAACCUUUUUCAAGGUUUACGUAAGAAAAGAAAUUUGAAUCUAGAACUGAUUUUAUUAACUUACCAUCUUCGACAAACAUGCGGUUAAAAAGAUCACUGAAGAGCUUUUUGAGAUAGCUAUAAUCUGGAUCCUCGGCGAAAUCGAGUCGUCUAACAUAUCUUAAAUAAGUUGCGAAUUCCUCUGGAAAUCCGUCACAAAGGAGUUCUAUUGCCACCAAUCUCUUUAUCUCUCCGAUUUUUCGAUACCUUUCUCUGACGUCAUCAACAACUAAACCUUGCCAAGGAAGUUUUGACUUGAGGAAAAGAAUAAAAAUGUAACCUAAAGCUUCUAAAUCAUCUCGACGACUUUGCUCUUUGCCCAUAUGCGUGUUUAUUGACAUAUAUCGAGCUGUUCCAGUCAGUGGUUUCCCCGCUCGGAAAGAUGAUUUAGGUCGACCAAGGAGAAAAUUUUCUGGUUUAAUAUCUCUAUAGAUGAGUUUACGACUAUGAAUAUGCUCGAUCCGUGAUAUCAUUUGUAGAGCACAUUGGAUGGUUGUUUUGAUUGAUAACUUUCGAUCACAUAAAUUAAACAUUUCUUCUAAGUUUGGUCCGAGAAGGUCCAUUACUAAUGCUAUGAACUGUCCACAUGGACCAAAAUAAUGUAUCCUUGGAAUUCCUUCACCGACUCCAAUCAUCCGAUAAAAACGAUAUUCCAAUGGAAGUGUUGGCACUUUACAUUUCAUUAAUUCAAAUUUGAUUGCCACUGGUUCACCAGUUAAUAAAUUUUUACCCACACGUAAUUCACCGAAAUUGCCAGCUCCUAAUUUCUUGCCAACUCUGUAAUUUGUUCCAACCAUGAGAACUUCAUGUUCGACUUCUUCUAAUGAUGAACUUUUUCUAGCCAUUUGAUGGUUUCACUUUACUUGUACAAAAAAACAGCUUAAUUAUUUUCCCCGUUUUCACAUUUCCUUAUUGAUAUGCAUAUUCACUGUCGAUUGUAACAAUUAAUGCGAUUUAUCAUUAUCCCUUUUAUUGUUGUUUUUUAUUUAUACUUCAAACAAAAUGGUUUUGAUUGUUACAAUCUGCACAUUAAUUUUUCUAAGGUUGAAAUAAUAAUUAACUCAAGUUACAUUUCACUGCAAUUAUUUACACUUUGAAUUGUUCUACCGUUUGUAACUUUACAUGGUGAGUUUAUUUAUGUUAUACAAAUUCAAUUGAUUUAACGAUACCAUUGGUCAUAUAAUUAACAAAUUAAAUUUUAGGCAUCUUUAGCGUCUGCGAUUCCACCUUC